CGGGCAUUGAAGCAACUGGUAAUCUUCGUUAGCUCAAACCUAAUGUAUUCGGGGUUCGAAUCCCUGAUGCCCGACCA
rnacentral:tRNA from 2 species